rnacentral:rRNA from 1 species
GUAGGUGGCAAGCGUUGUCCGGAAUUAUUGGGCGUAAAGCGCGCGCAGGCGGUUCUUUAAGUCUGAUGUGAAAGCCCACGGGUUCAACCGUGGAGGGUCAUUGGAAACUGGAGAACUUGAGUACAGAAGAGGAAAGCGGAAUUCCACGUGUAGCGGUGAAAUGCGUAGAGAUGUGGAGGAACACCAGUGGCGAAGGCGGCUUUCUGGUCUGUAACUGACGCUGAGGCGCGAAAGCGUGGGGAGCAAACAGGAUUAGAUACCCUGGUAGUCCACGCCGUAAACGAUGAGUGCUAAGUGUUAGGGGGUUUCCGCCCCUUAGUGCUGCAGCUAACGCAUUAAGCACUCCGCCUGGGGAGUACGGCCGCAAAGGCUG